rnacentral:rRNA from 1 species
UACGGAGGGGGCUAGCGUUGUUCGGAAUUACUGGGCGGAAAGCGCACGUAGGCGGCUUUGUAAGUUAGAGGUGAAAGCCCGGGGCUCAACUCCGGAAUUGCCUUUAAGACUGCAUCGCUAGAAUUGUGGAGAGGUAAGUGGAAUUCCGAGUGUAGAGGUGAAAUUCGUAGAUAUUCGGAAGAACACCAGUGGCGAAGGCGACUUACUGGACACAUAUUGACGCUGAGGUGCGAAAGCGUGGGGAGCAAACAGG